rnacentral:tRNA from 1 species
GCCAUCAUAGCUCAGCAGGCAGAGCACUUCCAUGGUAAGGAAGGGGUCGCUGGUUCGAGUCCAGUUGUUGGCACCA